rnacentral:rRNA from 1 species
AGAGUUUGAUCAUGGCUCAGAUUGAACGCUGGCGGCGUGCUUUACACAUGCAAGUCGAACGGCAGCAUAGGUAGCAAUACCUGAUGGCGAGUGGCGAACGGGUGAGUAAUACAUCGAAACAAGACUAUUAGUUGGGGAUAACCCAUCGAAAGAUGGGCUAAUACCGAAUAAUCUCUGAGGAGGAAAGUUGGGGACCGCGAGGCCUGACGCUGAUAGAUUGGUCGAUGGUCGAUUAGCUAGUUGGUGAGGUAAGGGCUUACCAAGGCGAUGAUCGAUAGCUGUUCUGAGAGGAAGAUCAGCCACACUGGAACUGAGACACGGUCCAGACUCCUACGGGAGGCAGC